ACCUGGUUGAUCCUGCCAGUAGUCAUAUGCUUGUCUCAAAGGUUAAGCCAUACAUGUGUGAGUAUAACGACAGAUACAAGUAAACUGCGGACGGCUCAUUAAAUCAGUUAUAGUUUAUUUGAUGGUUCGAGUUUUACAUGGAUAACUGUAGGAAUUCUAGAGCUAAUGCAUGCAUACAUCCCGACUUUCGGAGGGACGUCUUUGUUAGCACUAAAACCGACAUUUUUUAUGGCGAAUCAUGAUAUUAGCGCGGAUCGAACGGGUCUUCCGGCGACGUUUCAUUCGAAUUUCUGCCCUAUCAAUUUACGAUGGUAGGGUAGUGGCCUGCCAUGAUCGUAACGGGUGACGGAGGAUUAGGGUUUGAUUCCGGAGAGGGAGCCUGAGAGACGGCUACCAGAUCCAAGGAAGGCAGUAGGCGCGAAAAUUACCCAAUGCGGACACCGUGAGGUAGUGACAAUAAAUAACAAUGCCGGGCUUAUUAAGUUUGGUAAUUGGAAUGAGCACGACGUAAAUACCUUAACGAGGAUCCAUUGGAGGGCAAGUCUGGUGCCAGCAGCCGCGUAAUUCCAGCUCCAAUAGCGUAUAUUUAAGUUGUUGCGGUUAAAAAGCUCGUAGUCGUAUUUCGGGCGUCGUCGAUCGGUGCGUCCUCUUAGGGAGUGCGCUGGGGGGGGACGUCUUUUUGUUCGGGAUGCGCUCCUGGGCUUAACUGUCCGGGACGCGUGCUGUACGAGGUCACUUUGAGUAAAUUAGGGUGUUCAAAGCAGGCGUGCGCUAUGCAUAUGUCAGCAUGGGAUGACACGAUAGGACCCCGUUCCGUGCGUCGGUUUGCGGGUGCGGGGUAAUGGUCGAUAGGAGCGAUCGGGGGCGUUCCUAUUUCGUCGUCAGAGGUGAAAUUCUUGGAUUUACGAAAGAGGAUCAACUGCGAAAGCAUUGCCAAGGGCGCCUCCGUUGAUCAAGAACGAAAGUUGGGGGAUCGAAGAUGAUUAGAUACCAUCCUAGUCUCAACCAUAAACUAUGUCGACUGGGGAUCGGCGGGCGUUUUCAUUGCGACCCCGCCGGCACUCUGCGAGAAAUCAUUAGUGUAUGGGUUCCGGGGGUAGUAUGGUCGCAAGGCUGAAACUUAAAGGAAUAGACGGAAGGGCACCACCAGGCGUGGAGCUGCGGCUUAAUUUGACUCAACGCGGGGAAGCUUACUAGGUCAGGACAUGGGAAGGAUUGACAGAUUGAUAGCUCUUUCUUGAUUCCAUGGGUGGUGGUGCAUGGCCAUUCUUAGUUCGUGGGUUAUCUUGUCUGGUUGACUCCGUUAACGAACGAGACCUCAGCCURCUAAAUAAUCCCCGUCUCGCUCAGAGGCGYGGYGAUUCCUUAGAGGGACUAUCGGUGCAAGUCGGUGGAAGUUUGAGGCAAUAAUAGGUCUGUGAUGCCCUUAGAUGUUCUAGGCGCACGCGGGCUACACUGAUGCGCCCAACCAGUCGCCUUGGUCGAGAGACCCGGGAAAUCUGUGCACAYGCAUCGUGAUGGGGCUAGAAUAUUGGAAUUGUUACUCUUUAACGAGGAAUGCCUAGUAAGUGCCGGUCAUCAGCCGCGGUUGAUUACGUCCCUGCCCUUUGUACUCACCGCCCGUCGCUUGAUCCGACGUUGCAGUUGGUGAAAUGUUUGGAUCGGUACGGGACGUGAAAGCGUCCCCGAAGCCCAGAAGUUCCUUGAACCACCUGUUAUGGAGGAAGAAGAAGUCGUAACAAGGCCGUAGUAGAUGAAUCUGCCACGGGAUCAUUG
rnacentral:rRNA from 1 species